rnacentral:rRNA from 1 species
AGAGUUUGAUCCUGGCUCAGGAUAAACGCUGGCGGCGCACAUAAGACAUGCAAGUCGAACGAACUUAACCAUUAGUUUACUAUUGGAGCGGUUAGUGGCGGACUGGUGAGUAACACGUAAGCAACCUGCCUAUCAGAGGGGAACAACAGUUAGAAAUGACUGCUAAUACCGCAUAUGCCUUGAGUAUCACAUGGUACAAAAGGGAAAGGAGCAAUCCACUGAUAGAUGGGCUUGCGUCUGAUUAGAUAGUUGGUGAGGUAACGGCCCACCAAGUCGACGAUCAGUAGCCGGACUGAGAGGUUGAACGGCCACAUUGGGACUGAGAUACGGCCCAGACUCCUACGGGAGGCAGCAGUCGGGAAUAUUGCGCAAUGGAGGAAACUCUGACGCAGUGACGCCGCGUGCAGGAAGAAGGUUUUCGGAUUGUAAACUGCUUUAGACAGGGAAGAAACAAGACAGUACCUGUAGAAUAAGCUCCGGCUAACUACGUGCCAGCAGCCGCGGUAAUACGUAGGGAGCAAGCGUUGUCCGGAUUUACUGGGUGUAAAGGGUGCGUAGGCGGCUUUGCAAGUCAGAUGUGAAAUCUAUGGGCUCAACCCAUAAACUGCAUUUGAAACUGUAGAGCUUGAGUGAAGUAGAGGCAGGCGGAAUUCCCCGUGUAGCGGUGAAAUGCGUAGAGAUGGGGAGGAACACCAGUGGCGAAGGCGGCCUGCUGGGCUUUAACUGACGCUGAGGCACGAAAGCGUGGGUAGCAAACAGGAUUAGAUACCCUGGUAGUCCACGCUGUAAACGAUGAUUACUAGGUGUGGGGGGUCUGACCCCUUCCGUGCCGGAGUUAACACAAUAAGUAAUCCACCUGGGGAGUACGGCCGCAAGGUUGAAACUCAAAGGAAUUGACGGGGGCCCGCACAAGCAGUGGAGUAUGUGGUUUAAUUCGAAGCAACGCGAAGAACCUUACCAGGUCUUGACAUCCAACUAACGAAGUAGAGAUACAUUAGGUGCCCUUCGGGGAAAGUUGAGACAGGUGGUGCAUGGUUGUCGUCAGCUCGUGUCGUGAGAUGUUGGGUUAAGU